GUCAGUAUGUCCGAGUGGUUAAGGAGAUAGACUUGAAAUCUAUUGGGCUCUGCCCGCACAGGUUCAAGUCCUGUUGCUGACG
rfam:Smittium culicis strain GSMNP scaffold-2481, whole genome shotgun sequence.